rnacentral:lncRNA from 1 species
UGCAACAAAAUUAGUUAGAUAUGUUGCCAACCAAUUCCCUUGGUGAAUCGCACUUGAAACAUUGCACUCGGUACCGGCCACAAAACCAGUCUCCAAUCCUCCACCCUCGCCGACUGAUUCUUGCAAACCCUUGAUCAGGAAAACCGAAAAUCACGGGAGGAAACACAGGUGUGUAGUGUCCAACACCGAAAAAAAAUGGAACGCUUUU